AUUGAACGCUGGCGGCAGGCCUAACACAUGCAAGUCGAACGGUAACAGGAAGCAGCUUGCUGCUUUGCUGACGAGUGGCGGACGGGUGAGUAAUGUCUGGGAAACUGCCUGAUGGAGGGGGAUAACUACUGGAAACGGUAGCUAAUACCGCAUAACGUCGCAAGACCAAAGAGGGGGACCUUAGGGCCUCUUGCCAUCGGAUGUGCCCAGUUGGGAUUAGCUAGUAGGUGGGGUAACGGCUCACCUAGGCGACGAUCCCUAGCUGGUCUGAGAGGAUGACCAGCCACACUGGAACUGAGACACGGUCCAGACUCCUACGGGAGGCAGCAGUGGGGAAUAUUGCACAAUGGGCGCAAGCCUGAUGCAGCCAUGCCGCGUGUAUGAAGAAGGCCUUCGGGUUGUAAAGUACUUUCAGCGGGGAGGAAGGGAGUAAAGUUAAUACCUUUGCUCAUUGACGUUACCCGCAGAAGAAGCACCGGCUAACUCCGUG
rnacentral:rRNA from 1 species